CAAGAUGGUGACCAUAAACAGCCACAGAAUCACCGUUAUGUUUGGCAUUAAGUUGAGACUGUAUUUACAGCUACUACAGAAUAUUCUGUCGGGCCACUAUGAUCCUAAAUGAGGUCACUGCCUAUAGAGUGCUACAGGUAUGAGUCCUACAAUCCGGAAAUUAGUUAUUUUAGCACUUCCGGUUCCCUCGUCUCGAAGUCAAUGGGUUUUUUGAAUAGGUUUUUAGUUAGAUGCCUGUAAUAAAGUCUGUGGUUAACACUAGCUUAAGAGAUUUUAACGUUUAGUUGUAUAAUAUAAAAUAUGUCACUAAAUAUCCCACUAGUGAAUUUUGAGUCUUUUACGUGUCUU